GACGAACGCUGGCGGCGUGCUUAACACAUGCAAGUCGAACGGUUAAGCGCUUGCCUCUUUGGUGGGCGUGGAUGAGUGGCGAACGGGUGAGUAACACGUUAGUAACCUGCCCUCUUCUUCUGGAUAACCUCAUGAAAGUUGGGCUAAUACGGCGUAUUCCGUGUCUGUCGCAUGGCGGGUUUUUGCAAGAUUGCGCCUUUGUGUGUUUUCGGUUCGUGUUGGGCUCGCGGCCUUUCAGCUUGUUGGUGGGGUGAUGGCCUACCAAGGCGGUGACGGGUAGCCGGAGUGAGAGGGUGGACAGCCACAAAGGGACUGAGACACGGACCAGACUCGUGCGGGAGGAAGCAGUGGGGAAUAUUGCACGAUGGGCGCAAGGCUGAUGCAGCGACGCCGCGUGAGGGAUGGAGGCCGUCGGGUUGUGAACCUCUUUCGCGAGUGAAGCAGGCAUGCUCCUGUGUGGGUGGGUUGACGGUAGCUGGAUAAGAAGCGCCGGCUAACUACGUG
rnacentral:rRNA from 1 species